rnacentral:rRNA from 1 species
AUUGAACGCUGGCGGCAGGCUUAACACAUGCAAGUCGAGCGGAGAUGAGGUGCUUGCACCUUAUCUUAGCGGCGGACGGGUGAGUAAUGCUUAGGAAUCUGCCUAUUAGUGGGGGACAACAUUCCGAAAGGAAUGCUAAUACCGCAUACGUCCUACGGGAGAAAGCAGGGGAUCUUCGGACCUUGCGCUAAUAGAUGAGCCUAAGGCGGAUUAGCUAGUUGGUGGGGUAAAGGCCUACCAAGGCGACGAUCUGUAGCGGGUCUGAGAGGAUGAACCGCCACACUGGGACUGGGACACGGCCCAGAGUCCUACGGGAGGCAGCAGUGGGGAAUAUUGGACAAUGGGGGAAACCCUGAUCCAGCCAUGCCGCGUGUGUGAAGAAGGCCUUAUGGUUGUAAAGCACUUUAAGCGAGGAGGAGGCUACUGAGACUAAUACUCUUGGAUAGUGGACGUUACUCGCAGAAUAAGCACCGGCUAACUCUGUGCCAGCCGCCGCCGUAA